AGUAUAAAUAAUGUAACCUCAAUGUACAUCACAAUCAUACACUUUCCCACUAAUGAUACACAUAAGCUGCAGUUACCCUGUGUGCUGACCACCCAUUAUAUAUGCCACACAGCGAUUAUGACAAAUGUCACAUGGGUCAGAAUACUGUGACAUCAGCAUAAGUCUGUGUCCUGGUAGCCUAAUGACGACAUAGAUUUGCUGAGCUCAUCACUUACAAAAUGCUUUAGCUAUUUUAUUAUAAACCUGAUAUUAUCGGAGGACAGGGGUCAUCUGAGAUUUGGAACAGGCGGAAUCACACAAUCUAGGAUUGCAUCUGGCAGAGCUCUCCUCUGAGCGUUGUCCUAGCAGCGACACUCCUGACAACCAACUAGUGGAAAUGGCAAUGCCGCAAAACGCAUCCCACCCUAUCUGGCCCCCUUAUUCUUAUCCAAUGAAGAGAGGCAUGUAUGUGUUCAAUGUACUAUCAGAGGACAACCGAUUAAUCACCCCAGUGUACACCAAGGUCACAUACAUAGAGUCCAAUGGAGAGACCAUAACCAAACUGGAAUCUAAAGUUGGUCGUACAAGGAGAAAUCCCGAAUUACCACCUAUUAACGUCUUCAGACGUUUCAUGGAUUUCCUAAGAAAUAAUGUGAGACUGGGUCAUCAGCGAGAGGAGGACAGUCAGCCAUUAAUCUGAUGACAAGUACAGAACACAACCUUCAAUUGGAAUAAAGAUGAUCUCUGUUAUCCUUUC